GAAGGUGUAGCUCAUUGGUAGAGUACUUGCCUAGCAUGUGUGAGGCCCUGGGUUCAAUCCCCAGCACUGCA
rnacentral:tRNA from 1 species